rnacentral:rRNA from 1 species
GCUCAGAUUGAACGCUGGCGGCAGGCCUAACACAUGCAAGUCGAGCGGCAGCACAGAGGAACUUGUUCUCUGGGUGGCGAGCGGCGGACGGGUGAGUAAUGCGUGGGAAAUUGCCCGGUAGAGUAAGAUAACCAUUGGAAACGAUGGCUAAUACCGCAUAACCUUGUAAGAGCAAAGCAGGGGACUUUCGGGCCGUGCGCUACCGGAUAUGCCCAGGUGGGAUUAGCUAGUUGGUGAGUUAAGGGCUCUCCAAGGUGACGAUCCCUAGCUGGUCUGAGAGGAUGAUCAGCCACACUGGAAGUGAGACACGGUCCAGACUCCUACGGGAGGCAGCAGUGGGGAAUAUUGCACAAUGGGCGCAAGCCUGAUGCAGUCAUGCUGCGUGUAUGAAGAAGGCCUUCGGGUUGUAAAGUACUUUCAGUAGGGAGGAAGGUGGUUAAGUUAAUACAUUAAUCAUUCGAUGUUACCUACAGAAGAAGCACCGGCUAACUCCGUCCCAGCAGCCGCGGUAAUACGGAGGGUGCAAGCGUUAAUCGGAAUUACUGGGUUUAAAGCGCAUGCAGGUGGUUUGUUAAGUCAGAUGUGAAAGCCUUGGGCUCAACCUAGGAAUCGCAUUUGAAACUGACAAGUUAGAGUACUGUAGAGGCGGGUAGAAUUUCAGGUGUAGCUGUGAAAUGCGUAGAGAUCUGAAGGAAUACCGGUGGAGAAGGCGGCCCCCUGGACAGAUACUGACACUCAGAUGGGAAAGCGUGGGGAGCAAACAGGAUUAGAUACCGGGGUAGUCCCCGCCGUAACUCGAUGUGUACUUGGAGGUUCUGACCAAGAGUCGUGGCUUUCGGAGCUAACGCGUAAGUAGACCGC